GCCUUCGUGGUGUAAUGGUCAGCACACUGAGCCGGUAUUUCAGAGGUCGGUGGUUCGAUUCCCGGCGAAGGCA
rnacentral:tRNA from 1 species